GUGUGCAUCGUGGAGGGGGAAAUCCCAUCGGAUCUCCCAAGACAAAGCAGACACGAAGGGGCUAGACGAGGAGUUGAGGAGUGUAAAUUGGUGUUUUUUUUUAGAAAACGGAGAAGUGGGUGUUGCCGUGAUUCCAUGAGAAGGGGUUUACGAUGGUGCGGGGGGUUUCUACCGACGCCCAAGGCCGCAACCGCAACAGACCGAGUAGGACAAACGGGAGCUGAGCGGGAGACUGGUUGCGAAGCUUACGCUCCCCAACGCCAGCAGGAGCAGCAGCAGCAGCUAUGGACCCGGCCCUUCCUCCCCCACUAUGCCCUGCUGCAGCAGCGUGGCCACGCACGGAGGUGGAUUAUAAGUGGCGCCGCGGACCGCUGCAGAAGACACUUGCGUCUCCAACGAUGGUCUUUCAUGGUUACGUGAAACUAGCCUUGGUUUGGUUUGAGGUUUCACAGAAUGCAGGCUCGCGACGCUGCAACUGUUGUAAGCUCGCUGCCCCUUUGAGUCGGUCCGUUAGAUGCCUUCAGUCACCGGUUGCGAAACUGCCUCGACUUGUCAUGAAGUUUAGCUUUGCGGGGCCGUCGCUAGCGAAUUCUGUGGGGUGCAUCACCGUAAUUGUCGAUACAAUGUACGCGUUGAGAGAGCUUGGCUUCCGCAAAUCUGCCCCUGCGUUUUUUUCCAUGCGUUUGUGUGUUCCUUCAUGGUGCAUUCUGCUUGCAACUUUCUUCUCAAUCGAACUCGAUGACUGCGCGUUCGUUGCAACCCUACAGUUUGAAAGUUGAGAAGGGAGUCAGAUGAUGAAUGUCCGAGAAACGACACUGUAGUCUUUCCUGCAGCUGCCGUCCAAUUUUGGGCGACAUCCGGAUACUAGGAAUGUCAUGAAAUCCACAGACUUGAAGCGAUUGCAUUUACAGGAUUUCAGAAAGUAGUGAGAGACUCGUUGUACACUUUCCCCUCUUCCAUUUCGUUACAAUGAAAUCACCUCAGUCGAGCCAGUGCAGGUUUUGCUUGCUAAGAUUCGGACUGUGAUAGGUUUUGUAGUGUGCUCUCCUUGUUUUGUAGUGUGAUAGGUUUAUGGUUUGUUUUCGGAUCCAACUGCGGACGACGUCUAAUGUGAAGCAUAUGCUGUUUGAAACUUAUGGCGACAGUAUGCAAUGAAUGUAAGAGAGAAGGACAGGACAUUUCUUGCAAGAUUGAGCUCGAUUGCAGCAAUCGGGGGCAAUCUUGUGCUCCCGCAGUCCAAAAUCGUGCUUUGGUUCCUGUAUCGAUCUUCUUGUCAUUUAGGGAGGGGCGGGGGAGGAUCCGAGUCGGAGGAUCCGUAUUGAUUCGCAAUGCGCCUUCAAUGUGCUUCACCGAUUGUGUGACCUUGUCCCCGCUUUACUCACCCAGAGAAAUUCAUUUUACUGCCAGCUGCACAAGCGUCGUCCCCCCGCACCUCGGGUUUCUAGUGAGCUUUUCCCGGUGACGUACCAUACAUCGAACCUGCUCGAUUGAUCCUGCAACCCGAUUGUUCUUCCCUUCAAUCGCUCUGGGGAUACAUGUCGCAAUGAGAGAGGUGUGUCAUGCAGAGCUGCUGGGGCGGUUCUGACGGUUCAAAUGGGAGUGUGAGCAAAUGCAUGCCCGAUGCGAUUGACGGUCGAUGGGUUUCGUACAUCUAAUCUAAUUUGUGGGUUGGAGAGGAAUUGUCACGAAACGAAAAGAUAUCAUUCAAGAUGUCAGUCUCUGCGAAGAGGUUGAGAGUUAUGGUUGUGAAUGUUCUUGGCGUGACGCCCGUGGCUAGGCAGUUCGAUGGGAACUGAGCGACAGAUUAUCUCAUCCUCCAAUGCGGCAACUUCCUCAAGCCGUUAUUGGAUUCCAAUUUGCCGAUACGUUGUUGCUAGCACAAGCCAAUUAAGUACGAUUAGAAGCUUUCUAGAUAUUUCGAUUCUGGUGGUCAAUGUAUGAACAAGAUUGCCUGAUGCUCAGGUUUUUCGCAGCGCACUUCAAGCAGACAAACCCUGAAUAAUCCAGCUUAAACCCUUUUUUUUUGCAGGUUGAUGUAUACAUUGCUGUUAGCUCGAAGUUUAGCGACCUCAACAACUUUAAAUAUGGUUUAGGCAAUGUGCUCUCACGUCCACAUUGGGGACCGAACUUGUGCCUCGAAGAACCACAUUCUAGGCGCUUAAUCAAACAUACGAAGCAUGCAGUUGCCUAUCUGCACAGGAGGUUUAGUUCAGCAUGGGGAGAUAUCGGAUCCGCCUGGCUCCUUGUAUGCCAACUGAGAAGCUUGUUGAACAUUUUGCCAGGAUUCAUAGCUGGCACUCAGGGAGUCAAGCAGGCCAUUGGUCUUGCCAUGACUUUCACCGCUCAAGUGCAACAGUAAGUUUUGGGAUUGAUUCACUCACAAGUUCCUUUUGAUCAUAAGUUUGAGAAUUGGGGUCGAACUGAGGACUUCCAUCUAAGGCAUAUGUCAUCAACAUGUAAAUGGUUUCCAGCUGAAAGACGUCCGCAAGGCAACCAUAACCCUGAAUGUAGGACGAGCAGCACAGAAACUGGCGAUGUUGGAUCCGCCUGGCUCCCUGCAUGCCGCCUGUGAAUGCUGUGAAGAGACUUACUAGAAUUCAUAGCUGGCGUGGAGGGAGCCAAGCAGACUCUGAAUCUUGCCAUAGUCUGUAAUGCCCAAUUCUAAGCUCUUGCUAAGCGUUUCCAUGCCUAAUCGAUCUGGGCUUUGCACCGACGUCGAAGUGGGAUCUAACUGAGGUAACUACCAUCUCCCUUAACUUACAAAUUCGGGGCCAGGUAAGGUUAUUGUAGAGGAAUCAGAUAACUCCAGGUGAAAGUUUAUAUCUACGGAUCAAGUUUAUACAUAUACAUGAAUUCACGAAGAGAAGAAGCACACAAAAUGGGAAAUAUUAGGUCCCCCGUGGCUCUCUGCAUGUGACCUUCAAAAAUCGCCAAUUAUUUCCCAGGAUGGUGGGCUGGGUGUCAGACAGGCUAUAUGAUAGGGCAAAUCAUAUGUAGGUCAAGAUUUUGGGUGCUGAGGUUAUUCAGUAGAGGAUUAAUUAUCUUCUACUUUAGGUAGUACUUUUCUUGCAAGUUAGUUCGGUGCAGAGAUUGCUGAGGCACUUUCUGUUCUGAAAUUCAUAACCUCGUUGCAGACGGGUAUAAUGACUGUUUGUGGGGAGAAGUACUGUUCGAUGCACGGCCAGUUGCAAAAAUCAUCAACUACGCAAGCAUAAUCAAUGCAGCUGGAAGGCGUUAGCACGGAAUAUGGGAUACUGGAUCCGCCUGGCUCCCUGUAUGCCACCUGCGAAGCAUGCUAAAGGUUUUUGCCAGGAUUUGCAGCUGGCGUUCAGGGAGUCAAGCAGGCCUCAAGUCUUCCCGUAACCAGCGCCGUCCUGUGGCAACCUUAAGUUCUGAUUCUCUCAAUUCUCUUUCAGGAGUUGAUCGUAUGCUUGAGCAUCGACGUCGAGCUGAGGCCUCAUUGUCCAAGGGUAGAAAACGUUCUGAUGAAAUACGACUGCAGAGCAACCUCGAUUAAGAAUAUUGGAAAAGGGGUACAAAAUUAUGGGCAAAUCUUGAAUCUGCCUGGCUCCCUACAUGCCACCUGUGAAGUUUGCCAAGACUUCUGCCAGGGGUCAUUGCUGGCGUUCAGGAAUCUAAACUCUACAUUAACUCUUGCCAAUUCUACGCGUUGCGCAAGGUUCAAGAAUUGUAAUCCAUUGUACUGAAGUACUCCUCAAUGCAAUAUGAACCUCAAUUCAAAGCCUGGAAUAAUAAAUCAUGUAUGGAUAACUUGACUUCUCA